AAAUUGAAGAGUUUGAUCAUGGCUCAGAUUGAACGCUGGCGGCAGGCCUAACACAUGCAAGUCGAACGGUAACAGAAAGCAGCUUGCUGCUUUGCUGACGAGUGGCGGACGGGUGAGUAAUGUCUGGGAAACUGCCUGAUGGAGGGGGAUAACUACUGGAAACGGUAGCUAAUACCGCAUAACGUCGCAAGACCAAAGAGGGGGACCUUCGGGCCUCUUGCCAUCGGAUGUGCCCAGAUGGGAUUAGCUUGUUGGUGGGGUAACGGCUCACCAAGGCGACGAUCCCUAGCUGGUCUGAGAGGAUGACCAGCCACACUGGAACUGAGACACGGUCCAGACUCCUACGGGAGGCAGCAGUGGGGAAUAUUGCACAAUGGGCGCAAGCCUGAUGCAGCCAUGCCGCGUGUAUGAAGAAGGCCUUCGGGUUGUAAAGUACUUUCAGCGGGGAGGAAGGGAGUAAAGUUAAUACCUUUGCUCAUUGACGUUACCCGCAGAAGAAGCACCGGCUAACUCCGUGCCAGCAGCCGCGGUAAUACGGAGGGUGCAAGCGUUAAUCGGAAUUACUGGGCGUAAAGCGCACGCAGGCGGUUUGUUAAGUCAGAUGUGAAAUCCCCGGGCUCAACCUGGGAACUGCAUCUGAUACUGGCAAGCUUGAGUCUCGUAGAGGGGGUAGAAUUCCAGGUGUAGCGGUGAAAUGCGUAGAGAUCUGGAGGAAUACCGGUGGCGAAGGCGGCCCCCUGGACGAAGACUGACGCUCAGGUGCGAAAGCGUGGGGAGCAAACAGGAUUAGAUACCCUGGUAGUCCACGCCGUAAACGAUGUCGACUUGGAGGUUGUGCCCUUGAGGCGUGGCUUCCGGAGCUAACGCGUUAAGUCGACCGCCUGGGGAGUACGGCCGCAAGGUUAAAACUCAAAUGAAUUGACGGGGGCCCGCACAAGCGGUGGAGCAUGUGGUUUAAUUCGAUGCAACGCGAAGAACCUUACCUGGUCUUGACAUCCACGGAAGUUUUCAGAGAUGAGAAUGUGCCUUCGGGAACCGUGAGACAGGUGCUGCAUGGCUGUCGUCAGCUCGUGUUGUGAAAUGUUGGGUUAAGUCCCGCAACGAGCGCAACCCUUAUCCUUUGUUGCCAGCGGUCCGGCCGGGAACUCAAAGGAGACUGCCAGUGAUAAACUGGAGGAAGGUGGGGAUGACGUCAAGUCAUCAUGGCCCUUACGACCAGGGCUACACACGUGCUACAAUGGCGCAUACAAAGAGAAGCGACCUCGCGAGAGCAAGCGGACCUCAUAAAGUGCGUCGUAGUCCGGAUUGGAGUCUGCAACUCGACUCCAUGAAGUCGGAAUCGCUAGUAAUCGUGGAUCAGAAUGCCACGGUGAAUACGUUCCCGGGCCUUGUACACACCGCCCGUCACACCAUGGGAGUGGGUUGCAAAAGAAGUAGGUAGCUUAACCUUCGGGAGGGCGCUUACCACUUUGUGAUUCAUGACUGGGGUGAAGUCGUAACAAGGUAACCGUAGGGGAACCUGCGGUUGGAUCACCUCCUUA
rnacentral:rRNA from 1 species